rnacentral:sRNA from 1 species
UGAUAAUUUUUUUACUGGGACGCCCUUGC